rnacentral:rRNA from 1 species
UCAGGACGAACGCUGGCGGCGUGCUUAACACAUGCAAGUGGAGCGACGAACCAGAGCUUGCUCUGGGGCAAAGCCGCGAACGGGUGAGUAACACGUGGGUAACCUGCCCUGAUGAUUGGGACAACCCGAGGAAACUCGGGCUAAUACCAAAUGUGCUCUCCGGCCUCAAGGCCGGUGAGGAAAGGUAGCUUCGGCUUCCGCAUCAGGAUGGGCCCGCGGCCCAUUAGCUUGUUGGUGAGGUAACGGCUCACCAAGGCUUCGAUGGGUAGCUGGUCUGAGAGGACGAUCAGCCACACUGGGACUGAGACACGGCCCAGACUCCUACGGGAGGCAGCAGUGGGGAAUCUUGCGCAAUGCGCGAAAGCGUGACGCAGCAACGCCGCGUGGGGGAAGACGGCCUUCGGGUUGUAAACCCCUUUCAGUUGGGACGAAGCUUCGGCGGUGAAUAGCCGUUCGGAGUGACGGUACCUUCAGAAGAAGCUCCGGCUAACUACGUGCCAGCAGCCGCGGUAAUACGUAGGGAGCAAGCGUUGUCCGGAAUUAUUGGGCGUAAAGCGCGUGUAGGCGGCUCGGUAAGUCUGCUGUGAAAGUCCAGGGCUCAACCCUGGAAAGCCGGUGGAUACUGUCGAGCUCGAGUCCGGAAGAGGCGAGUGGAAUUCCUGGUGUAGCGGUGAAAUGCGCAGAUAUCAGGAGGAACACCAAUGGCGAAGGCAGCUCGCUGGGACGGUAC